UACAGAGGUCUCAAGCGUUGUUCGGAUUCAUUGGGCGUAAAGGGUGUGUAGGUGGCGCCGUAAGUCGGGUGUGAAAUUUCGGAGCUUAACUCCGAAACUGCAUUCGAUACUGCGGUGCUUGAGGACUGGAGAGGAGACUGGAAUUUACGGUGUAGCAGUGAAAUGCGUAGAUAUCGUAAGGAAGACCAGUGGCGAAGGCGGGUCUCUGGACAGUUCCUGACGCUGAGGCACGAAGGCCAGGGGAGCAAACGGG
rnacentral:rRNA from 1 species